GUGGGGGCUCAGUUCUGAGGCUGUGGAGAGGUGUCGUUAACCCAAAUGUAGGAGGUGGGGGCUCAGUUCUGAGGCCGUGGAGAGGUGUCGUUAACCCAAAUGUAGGAGGUGGGGGCUCAGUUCUGAGGUCGUGGAGAGGUGAUGUUAAGAAUCUAAUUUCCUGGAGAUGAACAGCACCUCAGUGGCAUGCUCCCCAGUGACCACCUGCUGUCAGUGAGGACAGCGCCCCGGCUGUGGUAUUGGGCUUGAGAUCGACCACCUGCUGUCAGUGAGGACAACGCCCUGGCUGUCGUAUUGGGCUUGGGAUCCCACUCAUGAAACAGGCGAGUCAUGGAAGACGAAGUGCCAGGCCGUGCGGCACCAGAGUCCCACGCACAGUUGCUUUCCUGAGUGGCCUCUGCUUGGACCGAUUUGGACUGAAGCCUUGACGUUAGGUGCCUUGGUGCCCUGCAGGAUUUCCACCGUCCAGUCUCCACUUUAUGCAUUUUGAUAAUGCAAAGUAAAACAAAGUCAAAAAGGAUGAAUAAUUACAGAAUCCAAACGACUCAGAAAUGAACUUGGAGUUCAAAUCUUUAACUCCUACAUUGAGGCAGAUUCUCCGUCUGCCACAUGGUUACAUCACAGGAAGGAUUUUUAAUUUUCAGAGAAUCAUAAAGCGCAGCCCGAACAAAUCCACCUGAACGCCCUUUGUUAAGUAAAUUGGAGCGAACAGAAGCCUCAGAACUCCUGCUGCUUUCAGAAUGACUCUGGUGACCUUUUGCGCAAUUAUCCUACAGAGAAGGCAAAAUCAGCUUUGGUCCAAGAACAAAAGUUGGUCUUGUAAUCAGGGAGCUGCCUCCCUGCUGAGGUCACUGGACCCGUGCCGAACAUGGGUGUUUUGCGGGCUGCAUGGGACCACCCUGGGGCAGGGAGAAGGCCCCACCUCCACCACACAGCCUUCUGUAAACCUAAGGUAACCUCCAUUACACAGCCCUCUGCAAACGUGACCUACCCUCCACCACAGCCUUCUGCAAACCGACCCUAACCUCCACCACACAGCCCUCUGCAAACCUAACCUAACCUCCACCACACAGCCCUCUGCAAACCUAACCUAACCUCCACCACACAGCCCUCUGCAAACCUAACCUAACCUCCACACCACACAGUCCUCUGGAAACCUAACCUAACCUCCACCA
rnacentral:lncRNA from 1 species